rnacentral:rRNA from 1 species
GACGAACCGAGCGAACGUUAUUCGGAAUCACUGGGCUUAAAGGGCGCGUAGGCGGGCGGCCAAGUCAGGGGUGAAAGCCCCCAGCUCAACUGGGGAAGUGCCUUUGAUACUGGUCAUCUCGAGGGAGAUAGGGGCGUGCGGAACUUCCGGUGGAGCGGUGAAAUGCGUAGAUAUCGGAAGGAACACCGGUGGCGAAGGCGGGUCUCUGGACAGUUCCUGACACUGAGGCACGAAGGCCAGGGGAGCAAACGGG